UGCAAGUCGAACGCGAAAUUUCCCUUCGGGGAGAAAGUAGAGUGGCGCACGGGUGAGUAACACGUGGAUAAUUUGCCUUCGGGUGGGGAAUAACAACCGGAAACGGUUGCUAAUACCGCAUAAUGCAGCGGCAUCUAUGAUGACAGUUGUUAAAGCGGGGGAUCGCAAGACCUCGCGCCUGAAGAGAAGUCCGCGGCAGAUUAGCUAGUUGGUAGGGUAAUGGCCUACCAAGGCAACGAUCUGUAGCCGGCCUGAGAGGGCGGUCGGCCACACUGACACUGACAUACGGGUCAGACUCCUACGGGAGGCAGCAGUCGGGAAUUUUGGGCAAUGGGCGAAAGCCUGACCCAGCAACGCCGCGUGAAGGAUGAAGCAUUUCGGUGUGUAAACUUCACAAGAAUGGGAAGAAUAAGUGCGGGAUAAUACCCCUCACGGUGACGGUACCAUUUGUAAGCUCCGGCUAACUCCGUGCCAGCAGCCGCGGUAAUACGGGGGGAGCAAGCGUUGUUCGGAUUUACUGGGCGUAAAGGGCGCGUAGGCGGCGCGACAAGUCACUUGUGAAAUCUCCGGGCUCAACUCGGAACGGUCAAGUGAUACUGUCAUGCUAGAGUGCGGAAGGGGCAACUGGAAUUCUCGGUGUAGCGGUGAAAUGCGUAGAUAUCGAGAGGAACACCUGCGGCGAAGGCGGGUUGCUGGGCCGACACUGACGCUGAGGCGCGAAAGCCAGGGGAGCGAACGGGAUUAGAUACCCCGGUAGUCCUGGCCUUAAACGAUGAAUGCUUGGUGUCCGGGGUUUGAUAGUCCCCGGGUGCCGUCGCUAACGCUUUAAGCAUUCCGCCUGGGGAGUACGGUCGCAAGACUGAAACUCAAAGGAAUUGACGGGGACCCGCACAAGCGGUGGAG
rnacentral:rRNA from 1 species